AAUGAACGCUGGCGGCAGGCUUAACACAUGCAAGUCGAGCGGAGAUGAGGUGCUUGCACCUUAUCUUAGCGGCGGACGGGUGAGUAAUGCUUAGGAAUCUGCCUAUUAGUGGGGGACAACAUUCCGAAAGGAAUGCUAAUACCGCAUACGCCCUACGGGGGAAAGCAGGGGAUCUUCAGACCUUGCGCUAAUAGAUGAGCCUAAGUCGGAUUAGCUAGUUGGUGGGGUAAAGGCCUACCAAGGCGACGAUCUGUAGCGGGUCUGAGAGGAUGAUCCGCCACACUGGGACUGAGACACGGCCCAGACUCCUACGGGAGGCAGCAGUGGGGAAUAUUGGACAAUGGGCGGAAGCCUGAUCCAGCCAUGCCGCGUGUGUGAAGAAGGCCUUUUGGUUGUAAAGCACUUUAAGCGAGGAGGAGGCUACCUGGAUUAAUACUCUAGGAUAGUGGACGUUACUCGCAGAAUAAGCACCGGCUAACUCUGUGCCAGCCGCCGCCGUAAUAC
rnacentral:rRNA from 1 species